UUCUGCAAUUCCAUAAUCAUCAGCAAUGCAUCCAAAACACACAAACAAAGAAUCAACAGAGUAACAAAUCGCAGCAACAUCAGCAAAAUUUCAAGAAAAACGAGAGGCAGGAGUUUAAGCAAAUUCAGAUUCAACAAGCAAUUCAACGACAUACUCACCAACAACAGAGCACAAAUUCAAUUUCACAGGCUCAGUUCACAAUUCAACCAGUCCAGAUUGUGCAAUUUAUGAAAAACAUAGGAAACAGCUCUGGCUGAGGAGGAAGUUGCCAUUCAGGGCGGCGGAGCAGUAGCAGAAGGGUUGAAUCUCCCAUCGACAGCAAGCGGCGUUGGCGAAGCUGCAGUUCUACAUCGAGGCAGUGGUGCCGAGGUCGGUGCCGUCACAAAGGAGGAAGGAGAGGACACCGUGCAUGAUGGAGGCGGCUGGAUCCUGAGCGGCGAAGACGGCGUCGCGAGUGAUUCCACGGGUGUGCUUCGCGGCGGCGUUGUCGCGACGCGAGGAGCACCGAACGAUCAUGUGGAGGCAGUGCUGAGUACCGACGGCGAUCCUUGCAGAGGUUGGUUCUGUCCUGCUU